UGCGUAGGCGGUUUUGUAAGUCUUAUGUGAAAUCUACAGGCUCAACUUGUAGUCUGCAUGAGAAACUGCAGGGCUUGAGUGUGGGAGAGGUGAGUGGAAUUUCCGGUGUAGCGGUGAAAUGCGUAGAUAUCGGAAGGAACACCUGUGGCGAAAGCGGCUCACUGGACCACAACUGACGCUGAUGCACGAAAGCUAGGGGAGCAAACAGGAUUAGAUACCCUGGUAGUCCUAGCCCUAAACCAUGACUGCUUGGUGUGACGGGUACCCAAUCCCGCCGUGCCGGAGCUAACGCGUUAAGCAGUCCGCCUGGGGAGUACGGUCGCAAGGCUGAA
rnacentral:rRNA from 1 species